rnacentral:rRNA from 1 species
CCUACGGGAGGUAGCAGUGGGGGAUAUUGCACAAUGGGGGGAACCCUGAUGCAGCGACGCCGCGUGGGUGAAGGAGCGUUUCGGCGCGUAAAGCUCUAUCGGCCGGGGAGAAGUUGACGGUACCUGACCAAGUAGCCCCGGCUAACUACGUGCCAGCAGCCGCGGUAAUACGUAGGGGGCCAGCGAUAUCCGGAUUUACUGGGUGUAAAGGGGGCGCAGGCGGCAAUGCAAGCCAGGAGUGAAAGACCGGGGGCCAACCCCCGGAGUGCUCUUGGAACUGCCUGGCUUGAGUACAGGAGGGGCAGGCGGAAUGCCUAGUGUAGCGGUGAAAUGCGUAGAUAUUAGGAGGAACACCGGUGGCGAAGGCGGCCUGCUGGACUGUGACUGACGUUGAGGCCCGAAGGCGUGGGGAGCAAACAGGAUUAGAUACCCUUGUAGUC